CAGCCCAAAUGAUCACCAAGACAGUUUCUCUGAAAAGUGCCACUUACUGAACUUGCGUGGGAUGGAACAUAAUUGCAGCUUGUAAAGGAAACCAGCCUAAGAAAAAACAUCCCGAGGAAACGAGGUACAUGUAACAGCACAUGAAGAAAUGAAUGAAAAAAAGGAGUGAAUGAACCCAUGAAGGAGCAAACUCCACAGGAAGCUCCAAGCAAGACACAUCACCA
rnacentral:lncRNA from 10 species